GACCCGCGUCUGAUUAGCUAGUUGGUAAGGUAACGGCUUACCAAGGCGACGAUCAGUAGCCGACCUGAGAGGGUGAUCGGCCACAUUGGAACUGAGACACGGUCCAAACUCCUACGGGAGGCAGCAGUGGGGAAUAUUGCACAAUGGGCGAAAGCCUGAUGCAGCAACGCCGCGUGAGGGAUGAAGGCCUUCGGGUCGUAAAACUCUGUCCUCAAGGAAGAUAAUGACGGUACUUGAGGAGGAAGCCCCGGCUAACUACGUGCCAGCAGCCGCGGUAAUACGUAGGGGGCUAGCGUUAUCCGGAUUUACUGGGCGUAAAGGGUGCGUAGGCGGUCUUUCAAGUCAGGAGUGAAAGGCUACGGCUCAACCGUAGUAAGC
rnacentral:rRNA from 1 species